rnacentral:rRNA from 1 species
AUUGAACGCUGGCGGCAGGCCUAAUACAUGCAAGUAGACCUGAGUUGCGAACGGGUGAGUAACGCGUAGGAACCUGCCUCAUCGCGGGGGAUAACUAUUGGAAACGAUAGCUAAUACCGCAUACUGUGAGAGGGACCUGCGUUUGAUUAGCUAGUGGGUGGGGUAAAGGCCUACCAAGGCGACGAUCCGUAACUGGUCUGAGAGGAUGAUCAGUCACACUGGAACUGAGACACGGUCCAGACUCCUACGGGAGGCAGCAGUGGGGAAUAUUGGACAAUGGGCGAAAGCCUGAUCCAGCCAUGCCGCGUGUGUGAAGAAGGUCUUCGGAUUGUAAAGCACUUUAAGUUGGGAGGCGUUACCAACAGAAUAAGCACCGGCUAACUUCGUGCCAGCAGCCGCGGUAAUAC